rnacentral:rRNA from 1 species
UACGUAGGGGGCGAGCGUUGUCCGGAAUGAUUGGGCGUAAAGGGCGCGCAGGCGGCCUGUCAAGUCAGUAGUGGAAGUCCAUUUUUCAAGGAUGGAAGUGCUAUAGAAACUGAUGGGCUUGAGUGCAGGAGAGGUUAUCGGAAUUCCCGGUGUAGCGGUGAAAUGCGUAGAGAUCGGGAGGAACACCAGUGGCGAAGGCGGGUAACUGGACUGCAACUGACGCUGAGGCGCGAAAGUGUGGGGAGCAAACAGGAUUAGAUACCCCGGUAGU